UACAUUUUCAUAAAUGUAUUUUAGUAGAAAUGGCACAUUUCUGGCAUUUGGGUCAAAAUUUUGAAAUUAAAAUGUACUUCCAUUGUUUUCUUCAUUUCAAGCCAAAAAUAAAGAAAUUUGUAUCAUUUCCUUUACCCUCGAAAAUUGAUUUCUAGCUAGAUUUUCCCGUUAUAGAGACAUCCACUUUAUAGAAUAUAAUUAAUUCCACAAAAAUACCCCCGUGAGUUAGAGAUAAAAACUAUCUCUAAUUUUACAUUUUAGAGAGAGAAAGUAUCUUAAAAUUUUAGACAGAGAAACUAUUUUUAAUUUUAGAG
rnacentral:lncRNA from 1 species